rnacentral:rRNA from 1 species
ACUCCUACGGGAGGCAGCAGUGGGGGAUAUUGCACAAUGGAGGAAACUCUGAUGCAGCGACGCCGCGUGAGGGAAGAAGGUCUUCGGAUUGUAAACUUUUGUCUUAUGGGACGAAACAAAUGACGGUACCAUAGGAGGAAGCCACGGCUAACUACGUGCCAGCAGCCGCGGUAAU